rfam:Seinonella peptonophila strain DSM 44666 genome assembly, contig: Ga0131105_102
UCUGGUGAUGAUGGCGGAGGGGUUCCACUCGUUCCCAUCCCGAACACGAUCGUUAAGCCCUCCUGCGCCAAUGGUACUUGGGGCUCACGCCCCUGGGAGAGUCGGACGUUGCCAGGC